rnacentral:rRNA from 1 species
CCUACGGGGGGCAGCAGUGGGGAAUAUUGCACAAUGGGCGAAAGCCUGAUGCAGCACCGCCGCGUGAGCGAGGAAGGUUUUCGGUUCGUAAAGUUCUGUCCUAAGGGAAGAAAACUGACGGUACCUUAGGAGGAACCCCCGGUUAACUACGUGCAGGCAGCCGCGGUAAUACGUAGGGGGCGAGCGUUAUCCGGAAUUACUGGGCGUAAAGGGUGCGUAGGCGGCCCUUGAAGUCAGAGGUGAAAGGCUACGGCUCAACCGUAGUAAGCCUUUGAAACUGUAGGGCUUGAGUGCAGGAGAGGAGAGUGGAAUUCCCGGUGUAGCGGUGAAAUGCGUAGAUAUUGGGAGGAACACCAGUUGCGAAGGCGGCUCUCUGGACUGUAACUGACGCUGAGGCACGAAAGAGUGGGGAGCGAACAGGAUUAGAUACCCGGGUAGUC